UACGAAGGGGGCUAGCGUUGCUCGGAAUUACUGGGCGUAAAGGGCGCGUAGGCGGAUAGUUCAGUCGGGGGUGAAAGCCCGGGGCUCAACCUUGGAACUGCCUUUGAUACUGGAAAUCUUGAGUCCGGGAGAGGUGAGUGGAACUGCGAGUGUAGAGGUGAAAUUCGUAGAUAUUCGCAAGAACACCAGUGGCGAAGGCGGCUCACUGGCCCGGUACUGACGCUGAGGUGCGAAAGCGUGGGGAGCAAACAGG
rnacentral:rRNA from 1 species